rnacentral:lncRNA from 1 species
AUACAGGGCUGAAAACAAAGACAUUCAAACCUUGAGCCAUUUAGAAGAGGAAGAAGCCAAAAUCUGUGCCAGAGGUUUGACUACUGGGAUACUCAUGGCUUCAGUCUAUUUACAGGAGUACUGAUGACUACAAUAAGAGCUAUAAAGGAAACAUGAACCUGCCUCGUGUGAUGAUGUGGUGAAAAAUUAGAUGCCUCUGGAGAGCUGGACCUGAACUGCUGUUCCAAGGUUAUGGGGGCUCUAUUUUGCCACUGUCUUCACCAGCCUGUGAGAAAGAAACAGCCUUCAGAGAUCUCUCGUCUCCAUCCAUCCAAACUGUCCUGGAGUCCAGAAUCCUCACAGGAUCCAUACAGGGAAGGGACAGCAGGAAACAAGGCUGGUGGUCAAGCUGGUCAAGAGGAAAACCAAAGCUCGUCCUUAUUGAUGUCCUUCAGAGAGAACAUUUUUGAAAUCACAGCUCUGUGCCAGGCAAUGAAAGAGAGGCAGCUGCUGGCUGGGCAGGAUGAGGCCAGCCCAAGGUCCUGCAGAACAACCCAUGAGAGGUCUGUGGACUGGUGCGCCACGCUGGAUAUGGCCAGGUGCUGAGCAGGCUGAGAAGGCUGAGCAGAGCAUCCUGGCACCAGCACAGGUGCCUUGCUCAAAGACUUGGACCAGUGCUGUUCUGUGCUGUAGGGGAACACUUUGGACCUGAUUCUCAUUUGCACUACAGCAUGUUUUACAGCACUAUGGCAGUGGAAAGAAACCAUGAGAUGAAUAUAGAUCACUCCAAUUUAAAGCUCCUUUAUGUUAUAAGGGAACACCAUGAAAAUGGAAAUUGGGUCCCCUAUUUUUAAAGCCUGUCGGCAGGUGCCUAUAAAAUGAAGAAAGAUACUUCCAUUGCCUGGGCAAUGGGAAAUUACAUCCUUCUCUGCAUUCCUCUUGGUUGUGCUGUGGGCCAAGUAAGGAGCAGAGCGCCCCAGAAGAGACCUCUGAGUGACAAAUUGCAGGCCAAGCCUGAAUACUACCUACCUGUCAGAGGAUGGGAUCCAUGUGUAGGAGGAUGUUAGUGGGCUCAUUCUCAAUGCAAAAGGCAGGUGUAGUAGUCAUGAUUUGCAUCCAGCAUCUGCUCUCUGUUCCAUGUGGACAAGGCCAGGCCAGGGAAAAUGCUGACUCACUGCUACUGCUGAUC